GAAGUGGAGGAGGAGGCCGCUGCGCGCCCAGCCAGGCAGUUGGGAGAAGCCUUAGCGGGCAUGGCCUGGAGAAGGAGGGAGCUAUUGGCUCCCAGAUACUGGGGCUUAAAUUGAACCCCAGGAGCACCGUUUUCAGCGUCAUUUCAGGGCUGGGGCGCGAAGAGUCACCCUGAGGAAGGGAGCUGCCUCAGUAUACGCAGUGUACCUUGUUGUUGUUUAGUCGUGUCCGACUCUUCGUGACCCCAUGGAGCAGAGCAUGCCAGGCACUCCUGUCUUCCUCUGCCUCCCGCAGUUUGGUCAAACUCAUGUUCGUAGCUUCGAGAACACUAUCCAGCCAUCUCGUCCUCUGUCGUCCCCUUCUUCUUGUGCCCUCCAUCUUUCCCAACAUCAGGGUCUUUUCCAGGGAGUCUUCUCUUCUCAUGAGGUGGCCAAAGUAUUGGAGCCUCAGCCUCAGGAUCUGCCCUUCCAGAGAGCACUCAGGUAUGAUUUCCUUAAGAAUGGAGAGGUUUGAUCUUCUUGCAGUCCGUGGGACUCUCAUGAGUCUCCUCCAACACCAUAAUUCAAAAGCAUCAAUUCUUCAGCGAUCAGCCUUCUUUAUGGUCCAGCUCUCACUUCCAUACAUCACUACUGGGAAAACCAUGGCUUUAACUAUACAGACCUUUGUUGGCAAGGUGAUGUUUCUGCUUUUUAAGAUGCUGUCUAGGUUUGUCAUCGCCUUUCUCCCAAGAAGCAGGCGUCUUUUAAUUUCGUUACUGCUGUCACCAUCUGCAGUGCUCAUGGAGCCCAAGAAAGUAAAACCUCUCACUGCCUCCAUUUCUUCCCCUUCUAUUUGCCAGGAGGUGAUGGGCCCAGUGGCUAUGAUCUUCGUUUUUUUGAUGUUGAGCUUCAGACCAUAUUUUGUGCUCUUCUCUUUCACCCUCAUUAAAAGGUUCUUCAAUUCCUCCUCACUUUCUGCCAUCAAGGUUGUGUCAUCUGCAUAGAAAUGUACCUUAUAUGUGGCCUUUUCUUGCUACAGGAUUAAGCCGAGGUUGGAUGGCCAUCUGCCAUGGAUGAUUUAGCUGAGAUUCCUUCCAGGGUUGGACAGGAUGACACACGGGACCCCUUCCCAACUCUAUGAUGCUAUCUAUGAACGUUGCCUCUGUAUUUGGAGUAUAUGCAGCUAGAUCAAAGUGGGUAGGUGGGUGGGUGGCCGAAUCUGCCUGUGUUGGUGCUGUAAGAUGCUGCUCCUUACUCACUCACCUGAAAUGAAGUCUUACUUAAAGCAACAGGAUUACUUUUUACUGGAUGGGUUUAGGAUCAGCAUGCCUAGUUUGUCUCUGCAUACUAGCUGCUGGCAAAUCAAACGUGGGACGAGUGUUGUUAUUGCUGCUGCUUCUUUCUUCUUCUUUGGCCAUCACUUGUAGCCGAGUAAGAUUGUCUUCCAUAAACACGGUUUGAACAAUGAGACCGUAAGUGACUGUGGAGGCCAAUUCUGGAUCCACACGUCCUUCCACAAUGGGGACAUUGGUUUCCAGGCAGGAGUUGAUCACAGUGUGAAUUUGCCAAGCAUGCCUUCGUCUUGGCACGUUUCUCUUGUGUCCUGAGUUUGAGUGUCUUUUAGUACUUCUGUUAAAUGGAACAUUAACUAAAAUACUAAGUAGCCUGGAAGCUGCAUAGGCACACAUUAUAGUUUGUGCCACCAUUGGAAAGGAAAUGGCAUCUGUUGAAGUCAAGGGAUUGCCAGUUUGUGUUCUAGAAAAAGCAGCCCCUGUUUAACAACACCUGCCUAGUGUUGCAGACCACUAACAUACACAAACCUAGCUUUGAAGAGUCCUGCCUGCCAUAACAGGCAGAAGGCUGUGUGAGAAGAGGACUCCAUAGCACCAAGACUGAAGUCAAUAUGCUUGAUUAGCAUCUUCCUUAGCAGUCUUUCUGUGAAGAGCUUGUUCCAUAAAGUAGGUGCCACACACUACUGAUUCUUACCCACCAUCUUAUGUUUUUAAUGUGACAUAGCAUAUCAGUAUACUUCUUUUGCAUCUAGUAGCCUCUGAUUUUGCAUGAGCAGUACCCACUCCUUGCACGUAUGUCUUUUUUUAAAGCUAAGUUAAGCCAACAUUCAGAAGAAGAAAACUAUUAUAAGAUAGUGUUGGCAAACGUAUGUCUCUGUAUAGCUUUUAUCAAUAAAGUGUGAAAUUCUGCAUUGAUCCUGGG